UACAUGAUACAGUAAAAAAGAACCAAAGCAGAUGAGUGUUCAGGCAUACAAAUUUUUCUUUGGGUCUCAAAGAGCCCUCAAAGAAAAAGCCCUCAAAAGAGGAUCAGUUUCAAGAUACUGUAUGGAAUUUCUCCUCACGAAGAUAAUGUUUUCUUUCACUGUGUUGUGUUUUUUUUCUAAGGACCUCAAGCUGAUGAUUUCUGGUUUGGCUUGGUUUGGUUUGUUUUUUUGUCCUUGAGAAGUCAAAGAUUCUGCUUCAGUUUCUCUUAAAAUCAUAAAGGAACCUCCUACAUCUUUAUGUUUCAGACCUGCUUGAGGCUUUAUUGACAGAAUGAAUAGUUUUGGCAUAAACCAGGCACGGACUUAAACCAGCACUGCCAGAUGCAAUCAAACUUCUCGGCAAGCAUGAUUCUCCCUACCUGAAGACUAAAUCAGCGCUGCGUGAAUCUGUUAUCUUCCAUCUCCCUGUUCAAAACCGGAUCUGGGCUGACAGCAGUGACACUGAGACAGCUUGCAAUCACCAUGGAUGUCUCUGGAGCCUUCCAGCUUGUCAAGCACAGCACACUGCUCUGUGCUUGAAAGCAUAUGGCCAACAAAACAAAGAGCUUGCAGCUGGAAUUUGAAUGUGGCACAAAGUGAAUUGCUUUAAAAAUCAAGGUAUGUCGCUGGGAAGAAACAAAUCGUAAAGAUGCCAGACACAAAAGGAAAUGUAGAACAACCACUGGUCUCAAGCCAGGAGCAAUUGCCUAAACUUCCCAUGAUGAUAACCCAGCCAUCUCCUGAUGCAGUACUUAACCAUGCUGAUGCACCUGCAAACUGUGGAAAACAAAUCAUGACCUUUCUCCUCCUCAAAACAUUCUGAUUUUGAAAACUUGCUGUAAGCUGACUGUCACUCUGAAAUAUGAUCAACAAAUUCCCCACAGGAUCAUCACAGAAGGUGUAAUGGAACAUCUUUCAUUAAAAGCUGGGAUAAAAUACA